rnacentral:tRNA from 1 species
GGGCCCAUAGCUCAGUUGGUUAGAGCACCUGACUCAUAAUCAGGGAGUCACUGGUUCAAGCCCAGUUGGGCCCACCU